rnacentral:rRNA from 1 species
AACGGACGCUGGCGGCAGGCUUAACACAUGCAAGUCGAGCGCCCCGCAAGGGGAGCGGCAGACGGGUGAGUAACGCGUGGGAACGUACCUUUUGCUACGGAAUAGCUCCGGGAAACUGGAAUUAAUACCGUAUGUGCCCUACGGGGGAAAGAUUUAUCGGCAAAAGAUCGGCCCGCGUUGGAUUAGCUAGUUGGUGGGGUAAUGGCCUACCAAGGCGACGAUCCAUAGCUGGUCUGAGAGGAUGAUCAGCCACAUUGGGACUGAGACACGGCCCAAACUCCUACGGGAGGCAGCAGUGGGGAAUAUUGGACAAUGGGCGCAAGCCUGAUCCAGCCAUGCCGCGUGAGUGAUGAAGGCCUUAGGGUUGUAAAGCUCUUUCACCGGAGAAGAUAAUGACGGUAUCCGGAGAAGAAGCCCCGGCUAACUUCGUGCCAGCAGCCGCCGUAA